AGAGGUGGGGGACAGAGUGGGUGGGGAGGGGAGCCGCCAUACAGUGGCCAGGACCAGCUUUGCCCAAGUGGUGGCAACCGCAUGACCACAGGAACGAUGGCGUGAGCCCCGUGGCAACCUGGAGGAAGGGCCAAGCCACUGGUGAAUAUGCUGCAAAAAAUAUGCUGGAACUUCUAUGAAUACCACAGGGUGUGAGAAGAAAACAUUAGAACUUCUAUUUUGUACCUGUGUUACUCCACAACAAGAAAGCAAUCAGCUUGAUCAAUGCCUACUGUAAAGACGGCACCGCCCUCCGGAGGUCCUUUCUCAGCCCUGGUGUUCGGACAGCCACAUCCCCUCGCAGCAGGGGGAGGCCUGAAGCAUAGAGGGGCCCAUGCAGGUCUAUUCUGUUUCAGCGAAUUGCCUGGGAAAUAAUCCAGGAUCCAUUUCGUGUGGUCAUCUUGUCUCCCUGGUCCCCUCCAGCCUUUCCUCAUCUUUUGUGACCUGGUCACUCUGGAAGGGCGCUGGCCAGUUAGUCCACAGGAUGGGCCUCCCCUGGGGCUUUUCUGAUGCUUCCUUAUGAUGGCACUGGCAUCCUGAGGGGGAGGACCACAGAGAGGAGGUGCUCCUCAUCACACCACAUGGGGGUCCAUGCACCAGUGCCACUGCUUUCCAGGGCUCUUCACCUUCAUCACUGGUGGAGGUGGCGUCUGCCAAGAAGCAGAAAGUUGAGGCUUAGAAGGUGCACGGCCCUACCUCUUCCGAGGUGCCCCUGCGGGCUGUCUACAGACCAGGCAGCACAUGCCUGAUAGCAGCUGCAUAAGGAAAAGCAGGAGCCAGCUCGUGCACAGUGGCCUCAAGUGUGCACUGGGCAUGUUCUCUGCCUCACCAUCCCUGUGUGACAGAUGAAGACAAGUGAGCUCAUGGAAACCUCUCCAUCGUUGACCAGGAUCUAUAGGAAAACCCUCCUCUUCUUCUAUAUGCAAAGGCUGCACAGCUCCUGGUUCACCUGCACCUCUCCAGACCACCAUGGUGCCUGCAGCUCUGAGGGCAUUUUAAAUCAUCACAGAACAACAAGCAUAUAAGCAUCAUGAGCGCCUCUGGACCUCUGACGUGCCUUGUGGAGGCCUGCCAGGCCCACGUUUUAAUUUACAUGAACUCGAUGCCCUUUUU
rnacentral:lncRNA from 1 species